rnacentral:rRNA from 1 species
UACGUAGGCAGCGAGCGUUUGUUCGGAGUUACUGGGCGUAAAGGGUGCGUAGGCGGUUGUUUAAGUUUGGUGUGAAAUCUCCCGGCUCAACUGGGAGGGUGCGCCGAAUACUGAAUGACUAGAGUGCGGGAGAGGAUAGUGGAAUUCCUGGUGUAGCGGUGAAAUGCGUAGAUAUCAGGAGGAACACCGGUGGUGUAGACGGCUAUCUGGACCGUAACUGGACGC